UCAGGAUGAUGUGCUGGAGGAAGGCUUGACUUGUGAGUCUUGAGUGGGGUUUGUGUGCUGUUCUGCUUCUGGUUAGCAGUCAUAAGGUUAGCAUAGUGAGUGUGUUCUAAAGAACUGGUGAAAUGGGGAAAUAGGGCCGUUCUGGGCCCUUCUGUUUUGGCACUUAGAUCCCCACAGGUCUCCUCUACCUCCUCUGUGAAGUCACUGAGAUCUGAGUUUCCUGCCCUCCCACUGCCUUCAGUGGUAUCUUAGAGCGCAUAGUAGGUGCUCACUGAGCCGGUAAGAUUGCUCAGUCCAUAAAGUGCUCACCAUGCAAGUAUGAAGACCUGAGUUCGGAUCUCCAGUGCUCACUUAAGAAUCCAGGUGCAGGGGUUUUAAACCCCAGCACUGGGGAGUUGGGGGCAGGUAGAUCCCUGGAACUCCGCCGCCAGCCAGUCUACACGAUUUUUGCCAGCUCCAGGUUCAGUGAGAGACUCUGCCUCAAAAACAAAAAACAAAACAAAACAACAACAACAACAACAACAACAACAACAACAACAACAAAAACUAUGGAGAGUGACUGAGGAAGGAGCUGGCAUUGAGCACUGGCCCUCAUUCGCAUGUGUGCACAUGUGCACGUACCUCCACGCUCACACUCAUAUGUACAUAUUAAAUAGGCACACAAGUUAGUGCGAUGUAACUGUGCAGAGUCUUAAGAGAGGAUACCAUGAUGGGCCAGAGACAGCCACCAUCCCUUGAGUGACAAUGUUCAGUUCCCACCCCUUGAGCCAGGAUGGGUCUCAAAGCUCAAGUCUCAUCAUCAAAGGGGUGAUCGGUGCGAUCUCUGUUCUAGGACCCUCGGCCAGCAUACGAGCAACUGAUGCCCCUGAUGGUGUGUGCUGCAAAGACCCUGGCAAGAGGGAGGUGAGGCCUGUGGAUGACCCAUCCCAGACCUAGCCUUGGGGGAACAGGGCUGGAAGGAACAGAGCCACCUCCCACCGGUGUCACCCUCCAACACACGCGAACAGAGCCACCUCCCACCGGUGUCACCCUCCAACACACGCGCAGCGCAGGACUGCGAUGCUGGCAAGGCCUCCGGUUGAUGUACUGUAGACUUUACAAAGCGCUCCGAGGCCAGGCAAGAUGGCUCAGCUGGUAAAGAUGCUUGCAGAGCAGGACUGGAGACUGACUUUGAUCCCUAGAACUCUUGAAACAUGAGAAAAAAGUGGAUUCUUCCAAGUCGUUCUCCGACCUCUCCAUGUGCACUACAUGCACACAUACAUUCUAACAAUAAUAAAUAAAACAAAACAGGCCUGGCGAUAUUUCCC
rnacentral:lncRNA from 1 species